rnacentral:rRNA from 1 species
GUCGAACGAGAUUAGAGACUUCGCGUUUCUAUGAAAGUGGCGCACGGGUGCGUAACACGUAUGCAACCUACCUUCAAUUGGGGGAUAGCCUUCCGAAAGGGAGAUUAAUACCGCAUAAGAUAUCAGAAUGGCAUCAUUUAGAUAUUAAAACUUUGGUGAUUGAAGAUGGGCAUGCGUUGCAUUAGCUAGUUGGUAAGGUAACGGCUUACCAAGGCUACGAUGCAUAGGGGAUCUGAGAGGAUGGUCCCCCACACUGGUACUGAGAUACGGACCAGACUCCUACGGGAGGCAGCAGUAAGGAAUAUUGGUCAAUGGACGGAAGUCUGAACCAGCCAUGCCGCGUGCAGGAAGACGGCCCUAUGGGUUGUAAACUGCUUUUGUCGGGGAAUAAACCUAGAUACGUGUAUUUAGUUGAAGGUACCCGAAGAAUAAGGAUCGGCUAACUCCGUGCCAGCAGCCGCGGUAAUACGGAGGAUCCAAGCGUUAUCCGGAUUUAUUGGGUUUAAAGGGUGCGUAGGCGGUAAAUUAAGUCAGAGGUGAAAGCCUGCAGCUCAACUGUAGAACUGCCUUUGAUACUGGUUUACUUGAGUACAGAUGAAGUGGGCGGAAUGUGACAAGUAGCGGUGAAAUGCAUAGAUAUGUCACAGAACACCGAUUGCGAAGGCAGCUCACUAAAGUGUAACUGACGCUGAGGCACGAAAGCGUGGGGAUCAAACAGGAUUAGA